UGUUCCUGCAGAUGCUGAAUGAUUUACGUAGCUUAAGUACUUCGUACUUCUCUAAAAAGAUUGAGCUUAAACUGUUUCAAUCUCUCCUUACCGUCCUUUGUUUGAGGCUUCUCCAACGUAUAUCCAGUGGGCAAUUCCAUUUAUAGCAUCUCUUCACAUGCUUUGAUGCAAUUCUCAAUUCACAACCUAUAUUAUUUACAAAUUUAUUCUAUUUGGUCAUGUGCUCUCAUUAUUACUCAGUUCAGUUAUGAUGCACGGUGACCAACCUUUUAUCGCAUCAUGUCAGGUUUUUAAUAAUUGUGUCAUUUGUAUGUUAACAUUGUAUAGCAAUAUCUGCUGGCCACUUCAUCCUAUUCUCAGCGAAGUAAAAUCGUAUCAAGUUCUAGGUUCCCUUUUCCCCUGUUGCAUAUUUGUUUUGGGUUACUCCUUUUGUUUAUGGGACCAACCUAGAGCUGCAAUAUAUAUAACACCUAUUAAUAUCUGUGGAAGAUGUUCCCCUUUACAUUUAAUAUUCUUGGUUUCAGGACUAUGGUAUUGAUUUUGGUGAUGGCAAAGAUCCUGUUAAAGCAUUUCAGUGUCUAUGUGGAAGCAGAUAUUGCCGCGGUAUCAGGCAUCCGAGGAAACGAGGGAAAGCUGCUGCGAAAUGAUCAAAGGACUUGGUAGAAGAUACGGGGUUGAUGCACGCGUGCAUCACGGAACGAACUAAACUAAUAUCGUAGUAGAUUAGCUACAAUCUGUGCUUUAUUUUAGAACUUGUCUACUUGUCAGUUAGACUGUUCGAGAAACCUUUUGGUUUGUGAAUGGCGCUGAAGACCCAAAGUCCUACCUUUUGUAGUUCUUGGAAUCUGUCGCUUGUCAAAACAGUAAUUCCUUUUUCCGCA